rnacentral:misc_RNA from 1 species
GAAGUAAAAGUCGUAACGAGGUCUCCGUAGGUGAACCUGCGGAGGGAUCAUUACAGAGUUCAUGCCCUACCGGGUAGAUCUCCCACCCUAUGUUAUUAUUACUUUGUUGCUUUGGCGGGCCGUUAGGCUCCGGCCCGACUACCGGCCCCGGCUGGUAAGCGCCCGCCAGAGGACCCAAAACCCUGAAUAUUAGUGUCGUCUGAGUACUAUAUAAUAGUUAAAACUUUCAACAACGGAUCUCUUGGUUCUG